rnacentral:rRNA from 1 species
UACAGAGGUGGCAAGCGUUGUUCGGAAUUACUGGGCGUAAAGGGCGCGUAGGCGGCCUUUCAAGUCCUGUGUGAAAUCCCUCGGCUCAACUGAGGAAUUGCACGGGAAACUGUUUGGCUUGAGUUCGGGAGAGGGAAGCGGAAUUCCGGGUGUAGCGGUGAAAUGCGUAGAUAUCGGGAGGAACACCUGUGGCGAAAGCGGCUCACUGGACCAUUACUGACGCUGAGGCUCGAAAGCUAGGGGAGCAAACAGG